GCUGAACUGUCCUUCGGCUUUCUGCACGUUCCGGAAACUUUGCGAUGAACCAGACUUUGUGAUCGCCCUGUUGAGACACUUCUCUGAAAAGGACAUCGAGG